UACAGAGGUCCCAAGCGUUGUUCGGAUUCAUUGGGCGUAAAGGGUGCGUAGGCGGUGCCGUAAGUCGGAUGUGAAAUCCCGGAGCUUAACUCCGGAACUGCAUUCGAUACUGCGGUGCUCGAGGACUGGAGAGGAGGCUGGAAUUCACGGUGUAGCAGUGAAAUGCGUAGAUAUCGUGAGGAAGACCGGUGGCGAAGGCGGGUCUCUGGACAGUUCCUGACGCUGAGGCACGAAGGCCAGGGGAGCAAACGGG
rnacentral:rRNA from 1 species